AACAUAAUCUCAAAGAACUCCCAACAUUAAGGAAUAUACAAAGGAGACUAAGGAACAGAUAAGGGGAAAAAAAUCAGGAGUCAUUCACAGAAGCCACAUGCUAAAGAUGGAGAGGGAAGGAAAAUGCCUAUCAAAUGGAGCAAAAAGAUCAAUAUAAGGGUAGAACACCAGAGAAUUUUUACCUGGAGAAGUAAAUGGGAGACAAUUAAGUGGAAGAAAUAUGGGGAGGGACAGAUACAAGGAAGUAUGUGUGAAGUGGAAAUCAGGAGGUGAGAUGGAGGACAAGGAAGAAGCAGAGUUAAAAGCAGUAAGUAAUAGAACCUCCCUAGACCCCUUGAAGCACUGCCCACAAACACAGAGCUUUCAAAUAGUGUUUUGGAGUCUACUCAUAUAUUGCCAAGACUAGCCAGAAAUAACAGGAAAUUCGCCUAUAUGAACAAGAGAAAAAACAAAUUACAAAUAGCAACAAAUAAACUUUGGUGUUAAUAGAGCAAUAAAAGUAGUAAUACAUAUAUAUAUAUAUAUAUCCUCAGAAAAAUAAGAUAUCUAUGAACUAAGUAGGAUAUUUUGGAAACAAAAUAAAAUGAAAGAAGUUCCAGAAAUUAAAAUAUUUUUAGAAAUGUGCUACAAAUUCAAUACAAGGAAGAUAAUGUUGCAAGAUCAAAUUAAGUAAUUUUCCUAGAAAGAACAGAGAUAAUAGCAUCGAAACAACUGGAGAAAAAGAGAAGAAAAUUAAGCACCAAUCUGGGAGAAGUCCAACAUCUGACUAAGAUAUGUUCAAAUUUCUCAAAAGUAACGAUGGAAGCUAGACAAGAGUGGAGCAAUGCCUUUAAGACGCUGAGAGCAGCUUAUUUUUAAUUUAAAAUUGUAUGUCUAGUCAAACUAUCAAUGAAAUGUGAGGGUGGAAAAAGGCUGUUUCAGACAUUUAAGAACUCAAAACAUUUAACUUUCAUAUACUAUUUCUUAGCAAGCUAUAAGUGUUUUAGGAAGUGCUCUAGUAAACAAAGUAAACUAGGAAAUGGGAAGUCCAACACAGGAUGACAAAGGGAGGUCAUGGGAUCAUCACCAUAUAGUAGGCCAAGAGAGCAACCAUACAGACUGGCACAGAAGGACAACUGCAGCAGAGACAUCUCUAGUUAAAAACAGGGACAUUAUCUGAUAUUUGGGUACAAAAACCUUUCAAACUAGUGAUGGGAACAUGACAGACCUGACAGAGAAAUUGGAAAAUUUUUAAGGUAAAUUUGUAGAAAGUUAUGUAAAUGUUUUAAAUGAGGCAAUUAUUAAUUCCAGGAAAAAUAAAAUUAUGCAAAAGAAAAUCAUAUUACAUUUGCCCUAGGGUAUAAAAUAUUUAUACAGUCAUACUUAAAUAACAGCUAAUGCAUUUACUAAAUAUUAUAACUACAUAAUAGAAGGCAAAGUAUGUGUGUUAGAGAGCUAAAUCAUGUAACAUCAUGUAACAUCAUGUAACAAUAAUGUCUAAAAUUGUUAUAUCAAGCAACAGAAUAGCCAUACUAUUUAGAUACACUAAGGUAAAAGAAGAAACAACUUUUGGAGUCACAGUGAUUGCCUCUGGGAGGGAAGGAAAGUUCAGGCAGGGACUACUAUUUUUUAUCAUAAAGCCUUUAGAACUUACUAUUUUAUUUUUUAAAACUGUGUACACGUUACUUUGAUAAAUUUUAUAGAUAUAUAAAAGGAAAUAAGGCCACCACGGUCUGAUUUGUUUUUAGACAAGAUAUUUAUUUUGAAGUUCCAAAUGACAUUAGCAGAAUUGUGAUUUUUAUGCUUACUGAAUGGUGCAUGGGAUAAAAAGGGGUUCUAAAACACUGUACUAGAUCAUCCAAACCCUACAAUAGACACUUAUGCAUCAAAAUUCUUGUAAAAGGACCACUUCCCUACUCCCUCCACCCUCCCCUCAAAAUACCCAUGUUCGCAAAGAACAAAACUUUACAGCUUAACCAACAAAAAACGUGACAUACAAUAAUUCUAAGGCAAUGGUUCUAUGAAGACAGGAGAGGUAGCAGGCUGAACCACAUUCACUGACCCUAUCUCUCAGCUGCUCCUCCUCACUAGUCAGGUUUUUCCUGUGUACCCCACUUCAUUAUUUUCAUCAUGCUUACCUCUCUGUUUACUGGACAUUCCCCUUGAUCUAAUACCAAACUUAGCCAGUCUAACUGUAACUCAGAUGAUAAUCUGACCACUUCCUGGUAAGAACAAAUGGUUAAUGUUGUCACAGUGAUUAAUAAAUACAAAUACGAAUUAAUUUAACAAUGAAUUACAUUUUAUCCCAUCCAGGCAUGAAGAAGUUAAAACCUGGACUCACUGACCCUGUGUUAAAAUUUAGUGCUAAAUGUAAGCAACAACACUGGAGCAUUGUUAUUUUAUCAAGACACCUAAACAUAGCAAAAUUAAUUUUGUUCAUUUUUAUUAACAUAGGACAUACUAACCGAAUAUUAUCAUUUAAUAAAAUCAACGUUACAAAGAAACUCACUAGCCAAUAAACAAAUGAUAUUCACUUGA